UACGUAGGGGGCAAGCGUUGUCCGGAUUUACUGGGCGUAAAGGGCGCGUAGGCGGCCAGCCCAAGUCGGGGGUGAAAUCCUGGAGCUCAACUCCAGAACUGCCUUCGAUACUGGAGAGCUUGAGUCCGGGAGAGGUGAGUGGAACUGCGAGUGUAGAGGUGAAAUUCGUAGAUAUUCGCAAGAACACCAGUGGCGAAGGCGGCUCACUGGCCCGGUACUGACGCUGAGGUGCGAAAGCGUGGGGAGCAAACAGG
rnacentral:rRNA from 1 species